GAUGAAGAACGUAGCGAAAUGCGAUAAGUAGUGUGAAUUGCAGAAUUCCGUGAAUCAUCGAAUCUUUGAACGCACAUUGCGCCCCUUGGUAUUCCAUGGGGCAUGCCUGUUCGAGCGUCAUUUGUACCUUCAAGCUUUGCUUGGUGUUGGGUGUUUGUCCUGAGGGACUCGCCUUAAAGUAAUUGGCAGCCAGUGUUUGGUUUUGAAGCGCAGCACAAGUCGCGAUUCAAAGCUAUACGCCCGCUUCCACAAGCCUUUUUCACUUUUGACCUCGGAUCAGGUAGGGAUACCCGCUGAACUUAAGCAUAUCAAUAAGCGGAGGA
rnacentral:misc_RNA from 1 species